AAUGAACACCUUCUAUCGGCUGCUGACGGACACCCAGUUUAAAGGGAGCACAAGUCCGGAUCCCCAAGAAGCAGACUGUGAGACAGAGAUCUCUGUGCAGGGAGUUUAGUGGGGAGUGCUCCAGGCAACACCUGUGGCCGGAGGGAAACGCUGAGCUGCAAUGUGGUAGGAGCAGCAGCAAUGAAGGCCUCGGCCUACCUUGCAGGAGCUCUGGCACGGGCGUGACCCUUCAGAGUUGGACCCAUUGGGACAAGAGGCCAAU
rnacentral:lncRNA from 1 species